GACGAACGCUGGCGGCGUGCUUAACACAUGCAAGUCGAACGGAAAGGCCCUGCUUGCAGGGUACUCGAGUGGCGAACGGGUGAGUAACACGUGGGGGAUCUGACCUGCACUUAGGGAUAAGCAUGGGAAACUGGGGCUAAUACCGGCUAGGAGCCAUUUUUAGUGUGAUGGUUGGAGAGUUUUUUCGGUGGGGCAUGAGCUCGCGGCCUAUCAGCUUGUUGGUGGGGUAAUGGCCAACCGAGGCGGCGACGGGUAGCCGGCCUGAGAGGGUGGACGGCCACAUUGGGACUGAGAUACGGCCCAGACUCCUACGGGAGGCAGCAGUGGGGAAUAUUGCACAAUGGGCGCAAGCCUGAUGCAGCGACGCCGCGUGGGGGAUGACGGCCUUCGGGUUGUACACUCCUUUCGCUAGUGACGAAGCUUUUGUGACGGUACCUAGAUAAGAAGCACCGGCUAACUACGUG
rnacentral:rRNA from 1 species